AGCUCCAAUAGCGUAUAUUAAAGUUGCUGCAGUUAAAAAGCUCGUAGUUGCAUUUCCGAGGCAAGGGAUUAGUCCGACCUUUGGUGGGUAUUUAAUCCUCUUGCCUCGUCCUUGAGUGGUGCUUCUUGGUAUUAAGUUAUCGAGGAGAUAGCCGCUCAUCGUUUACUGUGAGAAAAUUAGAGUGUUCAAAGCAGGCUUAUGCCGUUGAAUAUAUUAGCAUGGAAUAAUAAGAUAGGACCUCGGUACUAUUUUGUUGGUUUGAGAACCAAGGUAAUGAUGAAUAGGGACAGUUGGGGGUAUUCGUAUUCAGGGGUCAGAGGUGAAAUUCUUAGAUUUACGGAAGACGAACUACUGCGAAAGCAUUUACCAAGGAUGUUUUCA
rnacentral:rRNA from 1 species